ensembl:lncRNA
CUCAGGUCUACACCCAACAAAGCUGGACUAGAAGGCAAUACUUUUUCAAUACUUGAUUCCUUGAAUGAGUUUAGGAAGCUGUCAGAGGGCAUGAAGAUAGCUGCACUCUGCAGCCUACUGAGCCAGCCCUGGAGACAUGGAGCCAUAAGGAGACCACUGUGACUUCUUCCAUCAUCCCACCACAUACUUGACCCAUCUUUGUGACCAGCGCCAAUUAGCUUGGCAUCAGCAGUUGGAAAGGAGGUCUGCCCUUCCAGUGGUUUGUAGUUCUGCAUCUGCUCCGCUGGCAUUGUCUCUGCUAACGGCCAUACCGAUCAGGAAGCCAGAGCCAGGAGGCAAAUGAAGGGACUGCAUUGAUACCGCUGAUCACUGAGCCCCGAAUAACUGGCAACUGUUUCUGCCUUUUACCUCUGGAGAUGGGCUGAACAGAUUGUGCAAAAUUUAGUGGCUUCCAAAAGAGAAAAGGGAUGGGGGAGGAGACAGGGCCUUAUUGCCCAGCCCCCCAACUACCUGGUACUGAGGGGUCCGUUGAGCGCUCAACAGCACAGGAAGCAAAAGCAAAAAAUUCGUGGAAGUGAGCAAAUCUACUGAUUUCAGGUCAUGUUUGUACAAGAGAGCGAGAGACUAAACACGCCAUGCCCUCUUCUCCCUUUGUGGGAGGGUGCUGCGGGCCUCAACCCCACCGCAGGACUCUCCAGCCUCGGCUCUGGCCAUGCUGUAGUAAGAUGGCAGGCAGAGCCUUACACCAAGCGCUAGGGAGAGGGUUCAGCUGGGAUGUGAGUAACUGGGGCAGGAGCAGUGACUGGCACUUGAGAGAGGCCGAGUAUGAGCCGUGCUGCCCACAGAUGCCAUUCUGCCUUGCACAGCAGCAGCUCACCUCACAGGAUGUGGGUCACAGUCAUAAGGCAAGGUGGGUAUUUGUCAUCUCUACACAGAAAUAAUGACCUGGGGAAGCUGACUGCUGGGUUUUGCUCCCCUCAGCCCAUCUUCAAAGCAAGACAGAGAUGAGGUGGUGUAUCUUAGCAAGGGUAAACUGCACCAUCUCCUAGCAAGGCUUUUUUUU